CUAUCAAGAAGGAGCCACCAGAAUAUGUUGAACAGGACGAAGAGCCUAGCAGCCAUCUUGUAUCUGUUAAAUCAGAGCCGGAAUGUUACGAGGAAGUUUGGGAACCUAGGAACCCAGUGCCAGCUCUUACGAAAGAUCUUUUUCCCUUCAGGUGAACCACGAGAUUACACGGACGUGACGAAGGUUGCAUUCCACACGAAUCCAGGAAGCCAUGGGUCCACAAGGAGCUAACAGCCAGCGUGUGCAGUUCUACGAGGUCUUCCUUGGUGGCUUCGACUACGGUUCGACAGACUCUAGGGCGGCUUCGAGCGGCGAGGAGAGGUCGCGGAGCGU